rnacentral:rRNA from 1 species
UACGUAGGGUGCGAGCGUUAAUCGGAAUUACUGGGCGUAAAGCGUGCGCAGGCGGUUAUGUAAGACAGAGGUGAAAUCCCCGGGCUCAACCUGGGAACUGCCUUUGUGACUGCAUGACUAGAGUACGGCAGAGGGGGAUGGAAUUCCGCGUGUAGCAAUGAAAUGCGUAGAUAUGCGGAGGAACACCGAUGGCGAAGGCAAUCCCCUGGGCCUGUACUGACGACCAUGCACGAAAGCGUGGGGAGCAAACAGG